rnacentral:rRNA from 1 species
UACGUAGGGGGCGAGCGUUGUCCGGAUUUAUUGGGCGUAAAGCGCUCGCAGGUGGUCCGCUGCGUCGUGCGUGAAAGACCCCGGCUCAACUGGGGGAUGUCGUGCGAUACGGGCGGACUGGAGGCCAGUAGGGGGAUGCGGAAUUCCGGGUGUAGUGGUGGAAUGCGUAGAGAUCCGGAGGAACACCAGCGGCGAAGGCGGCAUCCUGGACUGGUCCUGACACUCAGGAGCGAAAGCGUGGGGAGCGAUCCGG